rnacentral:misc_RNA from 1 species
UUUCCGUAGGUGAACCUGCGGAAGGAUCAUUAUUGUACAACCGAGUAGCUAGGUUUUUCGCUUACCUGCACCUGCGUUCACGCCCGAUUGCGCUUAUACACAUCCAUCUCACCCCUGUGUACACCACCCCGUCUGUCGCCCUUUGUCGUGUGCGGAAUGGGUCUUACGUUUUCACUCAAACUUUAUGUUCCGUUGACAGAUCAUUCUUUUUUUAUGCGAUAACGCAAUCAAUCCCACUGUCAACAACGGAUCUCUUCUCUCUCUCAUCGAUGAAGAACC